AUUGAACGCUGGCGGCAGGCCUAACACAUGCAAGUCGAGCGGGGUUUUCGGACCUAGCGGCGGACGGGUGAGUAAUGCGUAGGAAGCUACCCGAUAGAGGGGGAUACCAGUUGGAAACGACUGUUAAUACCGCAUAAUGUCUACGGACCAAAGUGUGGGACCUUCGGGCCACAUGCUAUCGGAUGCGCCUGCGUGGGAUUAGCUAGUUGGUGGGGUAAUGGCUCACCAAGGCGACGAUCUCUAGCUGGUUUGAGAGGAUGAUCAGCCCCACUGGAACGGAGACACGGUCCAGACUCCUGCGGGAGGCAGCAGUGGGGAAUAUUGGACAAUGGGCGCAAGCCUGAUCCAGCCAUGCCGCGUGUGUGAAGAAGGCCUUCGGGUUGUAAAGCACUUUCAGUAGGGAGGAAGGAUGUUGUGUUAAUAGCGCAGCAUUUUGACGUUACCUACAGAAGAAGCACCGGCUAACUCUGUGCCAGCCGCCGCCGUAACAC
rnacentral:rRNA from 1 species